rnacentral:lncRNA from 1 species
CCCCAAAGACCCAAAUCCUGAAGGUUGAAAUUCUGAAAUCCUCAACUGUAAUUCUAAUUAGGGGACAGGGAAAGGCUGUUUAAGAGAGGUGUGCCGAUUUGGGGAAAUGGAUAAGUGAGUUUGGAAUUGUACAUGGGAUAAUUGUAUCCUUUCUGGUGCAAUAAAUACCUAGACACUUGCGGAGCAUCGCUUGGGAGUAUCAAUGAGAGAGUUCCCAGAGGUGCUCAGUGCCGGCUGCUGAGUAGAGAGGGCAGGAAAAGCGCAUGCUCAAUAUUGGCGGGCAUCUUCCAGUGCUGGAGCAGUCAGGAUCAGUUUUCCAAUCAUCUACAUCUGCUUUCCUGCUACUGUAGAUGAACUAAGUAGUCGAAGAGACUCCGUGUCCUUCAAAGCUUAAACCAUUUCAUACCUCAAUCUCUAUGGUGUACACAGCGUUUGGGGGCGGGGAGGCAAACAUGGAUGUGAGUCCUAUCCCCAACCCCCAGUUUCUGCCCUUCUUGUCUCAGGGACCAACCCGUACGCGUAUCACUCAAUGUCGUUCUCCAACUUCAGGUCUUUAGUCAACAAGAAUAGCCAGCUGAAGACAGAAGAGAAGUGAAGUUAAGGGACAAUUGACAACAGGGAAGCUAUCGGGAUCAUUGUUGCUGCCCCCCACCCCCACCGCAGAUAUUUUGUUGUGGAAGAAUGACAAACAGGAUGCCUCUGGGGCAUGUUGAAUUACGCAGAGCCUUGGGAUGAUUCCACAGUGGAGUGGGUCAGUGACUGGUAGUUGUGUGAAUCUGGAACUUGGCGAAGACGUGGGCUGAGACGUCUCCUUCAACUGAAAGCUUCGCAGUUUGCUCUCAGGAAGAAGCACACACCAUCUGCUCUGAGGAUCUUCCGUUGACAGCCUGGCCGGGGUCAUGCUAGGAUUCAGAAAUUGCUGAGUGUGAAAGGGGCCUGAGGGAUGGGUCAGAAGAGGGCAUUGGCGGCAAGGAUCAAGAGUUUCCACGGAAUAAUCUCAACACAAGCAGUUCGGGCGAGGGUGGUGGAUUUUAGUACAACUCCUUGUCAGUCACACCUUGCCCUGCAGGCAGCCUCUGGGGACUUGCGUCAGACCCAUGGAGAAGCAGUAACAGUGAUCAAAUAUUAAAACUUCAUUAAAG